CCCAUGUGGGUGGGUUUGAAACUUAAAGCAAACCCUUACAAUUCACCUGCAUGGAUGUAAGAUUUUCUCCAUAUAUACGGCUAUGUUUCUAGGCAAGUUCUAGAUACCCAAGACCUCAGCCCAACCCAACCGAAGUGAUCUUGGGCUUUUGAUAUCUCAACCCUAGCCCAUCUCAAAGCUGGAGCACAUGUAUGUGUGUGUCUGUGUUUGCAUGCAAUAUCUUUGGAUUG